ensembl:miRNA
GCAGAUUGAGGAGAGCACCACAGUGGUCACCACACAGUCUGCUGAGGUUGGAGCUGCUGAGACGAC